AUUGAACGCUGGCGGCAUGCCUAACACAUGCAAGUCGAGCGAGCGUCGGACGGGUGAGUAAUGUCUGGGAAACUGCCUGAUGGAGGGGGAUAACUACUGGAAACGGUAGCUAAUACCGCAUACCAUCAGAUGUUCCCAGAUGGGAUUAGCUAGUAGGUGGGGUAACGGCUCACCUAGGCGACGAUCCCUAGCUGGUCUGAGAGGAUGACCAGCCAAACGGGAACUGAGACAGGAUCCAGACUCCUAGGGGAGGAAGGGGUGGGGAAUAUUGCACAGUGGGCGAAAGCCUGAGGCAGACAUGCCGCGUGUGGGAAGAGGGCCUUGGGGUUGUAAAGCACUUUCAGCGGGGAGGCGUUACCCACGGAAGAAGCACCGGCUAACACGGUGCAAGCAGCCGCGGUAAUU
rnacentral:rRNA from 1 species